rnacentral:rRNA from 1 species
GACGAACGCUGGCGGCGUGCUUAACACAUGCAAGUCGAGCGGUAAGGCUCCUUCGGGAGUACACGAGCGGCGAACGGGUGGGUAACACGUGAGCAAUCUGCCCUUCACACAGGGAUAACCCUCGGAAACGAGAGCUAAUACCUGAUACGACCACUUCAGGCAUCUGAUGGUGGUGGAAAGUUCCGGCGGUGAAGGAUGAGCUCGCGGCCUAUCAGCUUGUUGGUGGGGUAACGGCCCACCAAGGCAACGACGGGUAGCCGGCCUGAGAGGGCGACCGGCCACACUGGGACUGAGACACGGCCCAGACUCCUACGGGAGGCAGCAGUGGGGAAUAUUGCGCAAUGGGCGAAAGCCUGACGCAGCGACGCAGCGUGAGGGACGAAGGCCUUCGGGUUGUAAACCUCUUUCAGCGGGGACGAAGCGAAAGUGACGGUACCCGCAGAAGAAGCACCGGCUAACUACGUGCCAGCCGCCGCCGUAAUAC